GUGCGCUGGCCGCAGCAGCCCAGGUGGCCCCUUGCCUGCCUGGCCAAUCAAGGGUGGCAUGUGAAUGCCACCAGCCAACAAGCACAGGGACCACACAGCGACCUGCUCACUAGCUGUAAAUGCCACCAUUAUGAUUGGAAUUGUAUGUGCCCCAACUCACAUGUUGAAGCCCUAGCCUCAGUACCUCAGAAUGGGGCUGUGUUUGGAGGUAGGGCCUUUAGAGAGGUGACUCAGUUACAUCGAGGCCUUCAGGGUGAGCCCUCCAUUCAGUGUGACUGGGGUCCUGAAAAGAAGACAAUGUUUGGGCAUUCAGAAAGACACAGGACCACAGGCUGUGUGUGCACAGAAGAAAGGCCACGAGAAGGUGACCAUCUGCAAGCCACAGAGGGAGACCUCAGGAGAACCGACUCUGCCGGCACCUUCAUUGUGAACCUGCAGCCUCCAGAGCUGUGAGAAAUACAUUUCUGUUGUUUAAGCCUCCCAGUCUGUAGUAUGUUGUUAUGGCAGCUGGAGUGAACUAGCACAGCCCCUGGAGUUUGGCCAACAAGCACACUGAAGCCAUGAGAAGUGAACCAUUUGUUUCAGAGAAGUGUAAUCAAGCCAAAAAGAAAACAAUCUCCCUUAGCACUCAGGGGGAACGCCAACCUUGAGCUGACUGUCAUUGUGGAAAACUGGGGCCUUCUUGACUGACCUAACUGGACAGAUGGCGAUGGAGGAGGAGGCUGUGCUGACACGUUCGGCUGAGCUCCUGCCUGUGCUUCCCAGCAGCUGCCCACACCAGCCACAGGGAUCACGCCCAACCUGCCUGGAGCACCGGUGAGACGUACGGAGCCAUAAGGAGAGACUUCUGCAUUCUGGUGACCAACUGACUCCACCUGGACCUGUGAUUCCUGACUCAACAGGUCCUGUGGCCCCACCCAGAAGUUGACUUAGCACAUGAGGACCAUUUUCCACAUCCCUACGACUUCAUCCCCAGUCAGCAUCACCCAUUCCCUAGCCCCCGCCUGCCAAUUUACCCAUAACAACUCUAGCCUCUGAAUUCUCAGGGAGGUUGAUUUGAGUAAUAAACUCCAUCUUCCAA